rnacentral:rRNA from 1 species
GACGAAGGUGGCGAGCGUUGUUCGGAAUCACUGGGCCUAAAGCGCACGUAGGCGGUGACGUAAGUCGGGUGUGAAAUCCCUCGGCCUAACCGAGGAACUGCGCCCGAUACUGCGUUGCUUGAGGACCAGAGGGGUGCAUGGAAUUUCCGGUGGAGCGGUGAAAUGCGUUGAUAUCUGGAGGAACACCGGUGGCGAAGGCGGCAUCCUGGACCGGUAUUGACGCUGAGGCGCGAAAGCCAGGGGAGCAAACGGG